CAUAAAAAAACAGCACAGAGAAAUUUGUUGAGAAGUGGUGUGUGUUUUUUGUGUUGUGCUUCUAAAACAAAGAAGUCCUGUAUCUGAGGCAACAGCUCUGCUGGCUGUCCCAUCAAACCCUUACACACGGGAUUCAGGUAUUUAAAAGCCCCACUGCACCUCAUACAAUGUAAGCUUAUUGGUAAAACAUGUCAAGGUGUCAUACAGUGGUUUUUAAGGCACUGAUUCAGCAACACAGGGCUCAGUACCUGUGGACUUAUUAUGGGGAAUUUCCACGGCCUGUGUAUGAGGAGAACAUCAGAGAGAAUUAGAAGUCAGAGCCCAGAGGGUGAAGGUAUGGGAAGGAGAGAAGAUGUUCUCAGACACAAGGUACCCUGGAAAGACAGACAGGACAGGACCUCUAGCACCAAGGGGCUGGGGAAGACAUAGCCAGAAACCUGGCUGGCCACUGGGAGCCAGCAGGAACCUGAUUUCAUCCCAUAAGUUACGUGAAGAUUCUGAAGUUUAAGGAGCUGGAAGAUGUGUCCUAUGUGAUAAGGACAGGUGUUAAUGAAUGUCACUGCAAUGGACUAAAGAAAUAGGAGGCAAAAACUAAUGAAGAACAAGAAUGGUUUGGGGGAAGGUAGUUUGUCUUGAAUAUGGCAGUCAGCAAUCAGUAGAAAUUUCAGUAUCUAAUAAGGUAUUAAGUUUGUUGAUAAUGACUCUAUCCAAAGAUAGUUUUUUUAUAUCAAGUUCAUACGCCCAAACACAUACUCCAAUGAAACAAAACCUCUAUAAAAUAAUUGUGCUGGCUUGUUUUAUGUCAACUUGAUGCAAGCUAGAGAGUCAUCUGAGAGAAGGGAACCGCAACUGAGAAAAUAUCCCCAUAAGAUCAGGCUGUAGGCAAGCCUGUAGAACAUUUUCUUAAUUAGUGGUUGAUGGGGGUGGGUCCAGACAAUUAUGGGUGGUACCAUCCCUGGGCUGGAGAUCCUGGGUUCUAUAAGAAAGCUGGCUGAGCAAACCAUGAGGAACAAACCAGUCAGUAAGCAGCACCCCUCAAUGGCCUCUGCAUCAGCUCCUGCCUCCAGGUUCCUGCUCUGACUUCCUUCACUGAUGGACUAUGAUGUGGAAUAUAAGUAAACUCUUUCCUCCUCAACUUGCUUCUGGUCCUGGUGUUUCAUCACAGCAAUAGAAACCCUAACGAGGACAAUAGUAUUUCUUCAUUAGGUGCACUAAACUCAGAAGUAGUUCUAUUUUGUUCUGCUUCGUUCCAUUUCAUCCCACUCCCAUUAUUCUGCAUUUGUUUUAAAAACAACACUGGGGGCUGGAGAGAUGGCUCAGUGGUUAAGAGCACUGGCUGCUCUUCCGAAGGACCCAGGUUCAACUCCCAGCACCCACAUGGCAGCUCACAACUGUCUGUAGCUCCAGUUCCAGGGCAUCUGAAACUCACACCAAUGCACAGAAAACACAGUUAAGUAAAUUAUUAAAAAACAACAGCACUGGUCACAACCACUGGAUUUCUUUCCUGGAAUAACCUGAUUCUUCCACCUCCUGUGAUGCAGGCACUCUUCUGAGGGCACGGCCAUUUCCACAGAGCUACAUGAGGGGCCGUAGCUGUGGGUGUGACCCACAGACUGUGCGUGGGAUAGGACAGCAGGUGCAGGAACUGCCUGUACCUCUCAAGGUAUGUGGUCUUGAGCUUCGCUGCUAUAGAUUAGAUAAGUUGAUCUCCUUGGUCAUGGUUUCAGGAAGUGGGGCACUGGGAAGCUGAUUAGAUUACAAGGCAAAAUGGUUUCGAAUGAGAUCAUUGCCCUUAUGAAAGAGAACCGGAGAGCGCCCUUGUCCCGUCCACUGUGCACAGUCAGAGUGUGAAGAUGAUGGCUGGGAGGCAGUGGGCCGUCACUAGAACCUGGAUCUGCUGGUGCCUUGACCCUGAACCUGCAGCCUUUGGAACAGUGAGGAGUAGAUGACAGAAGAUUGAAGCCCUUGGUGGUGAUACUUUGCUACAGUAGCCGGACUGGACUAAGAAAACAUUCCUAUCCCUCAAAAGGAGCCAACACUGCUGUGUUCGCUCAAGGCUGUGGCUGGCAUCUUCUGAGGCAGUGACUCUCAACCUUCCUAAUACGGUGACCCCCAACCACAGAACUAUUUUCAUGGCUACUCCAUAACUGUAAUUUUGCUACUGUUAUGAAUCAUAAUACAAAUAUCUGAUAUGCAGGAUGGUUUUGUGUCACCCCUGUGAAAGGGUUGUUCAACCCCAAGGGUUGAGAACCACUGUCCUUAGGUAAGAUCAUUCGUGUGGGAGUACCUUGGGAAUCUCUGUGUGUUUCUUAAGGACAGGAGACGUCUCCUGCUUUUGCCUUCUGCACACAGAAAUUUGGCUCCUGCCGAAAGCAGUGCUCAUCACACCAUGAGUGCCUGGGUCCCAUGGCAGAGACAGCUCAGAUCUCUGAGCACCUCUUCUAGGUCAGGCAGCGCACCAAAAUAUAACUCGCUGGAAAUUACCUUAAUCUAUGGGUAGAGAAAGAGGCUUGGGAGAAGGGGAGGAAUAUGGUCCCAUGAAUGGAGAAAAUCUUCAUUUUAGUCAGUCCGCUCCCUUGUCUUGUUCUCUUGUCUUUCUCUGUCUCCAUCCUGUGCUGCACUUAGUUUCCAAAGGCCAGAGAUAAAGCCUUCCUGGGUCAGCAUUUAUCGCAUAUGUCCCUUGUGGUACACAUCCUGAAUCUUCUGGGGUCGUGCAAAAUUCCAGAGAUCUUUCAUACAUGUGUGGGUCUUCCUUUGUCAUUGGAAGCUUGCUUUCCAAAGUUAGAAUGAUGGCUGCAGGCUUAGGGAGCAGACAGAGGGACAAGCAAGACUUCAUGUGUGCAUUACCUCAACCCCUGACUCAUGCCUGCACUACAAAUGAAGAGGGAAAGAUGAGGUAAUUGUCCAAGGCCACACACACAACAGAUGGCAAGGCUGGAAUCUGACCUGAGAGCUUCUAACACUGUUAGCCAUAGUGCUUGGGGGAUUUGGGGACCAAGAAUAGGGAAGUAGAGGAGAAAACAGAUGCUCAAGCUUUGGACAUUGCUGAAUAUUCUCAAGGAAGACCAAGAAUAGAAGAGAAGCAAAGAGAAGCAAAAUAGAAUGCCAGCCAAGCCAAUGUGCACAGCACAGUCAAGACCCCGCUUCCCCAAGGAACGAUUUCAUCGUGUUACAAAAUGGCCAUGAGCAAAAUGAGAGGGACUGUGUACAGGAAGGUAGGAAAGUGCCUUCCUUGACUCCCCCAAUAAUGAGCAAUUCCCCAGAUGCCAGCAAAGUCCCAAGAAGCUGAUUUUUGCCAUGAGUUCUCACCCUGGACAGAUGCAUUUUUUAUAAAGACUGUUUUUAAUCUAGAGAGGAGAGUAUACAGUCACGCAGCCAGCCUUGGGGCUCUGACAGCUCAAUGGACCAGGAAAGAAUCCCCAUCUACCCUGACUCUGAGUGAAUGGUGGGGUGGCUGGGAGCUGGGAGCCAGGGAGGAGACUGGAGCAGAGGGUAGGUAGCUGGAGCGGCAGCCAGGGCUUUAUAAAUAACCCGCUCCUCCCUCUGCCUUAGAAUCACAGAACCGUGACUAGCUGCAAAAUUAAAUGAAGUGCAGGCAUCACCCCAGAGAAACUGAAGUGUCAGGAGAGGCAGGCCAUGCAGGCGAUGAGCCGGAGGCUCAGGUUUAUGACAACCAGGAAAAGGGUCCUCAACUUCAUGUCCCCUUGUCCAUUCUGGAAGAGUGACUGGAGGAAAUGGAGCAGUGGCUGCACCAGACCUGGAAGAGCAACACUCUCUCCAGAAAGUCCGGGAGCUUCUCACAGAACUGCCUCGGGAAGUCCAGACAAGCAAAUACACUCACCCAAAAUUGUGCCCCUGAGUGGACAAAUGCUUCCUGGUAUUGUCUAGGGUAGGGAGGUUUGUUUAAUGGGUGAGUAACCCUCCUUUCUAGUUGGUCAAGGGUGUCUGGGGAGAUGGCUCUGGCUUGCUGCACAGGAAUGAGGACCUGAACUCAAUCCCUAGCAUCCACAUAAAAACCAUCCUGGUGCUGAAGAGGCAGAGGUGCUCACUAGGCAUCUAGCCUGAUCCUGGAGUCCCAGGUUCCAGAGAGAGAGACCCUGUCUCAAAAACCAAGGUGUAGAGACAGCUCCUGAAGAACCACACUUGAGGCUGACCUCCAUAAACAUUUGCACACACAUGCACAUGCAACUACACAUACGUGUGUGCACACAUACAUACACACACACACAGAGGGAGACGGAGGGAGGGAGGGAGGAUGUGCUGGCAUGUGGAGUCGGGGGACUUGUUUCUUUACUAGCUUUAUUGAUGUCUGUUUUUUCCAUUCUAGCUUCCUUUGGAGUCCUUACCUCUUCCGGGUGUUAUAUUUCUGGGUCCUCAUCCUCCUGCCUCUGGCUUUUCCACUCUACAGUAGUGUCCCCAGCCACAGGAACUUCCCUGAAGAAAUAAAUGCCAAGCCAGCCCUUUCAAGUCUUAAGUAGCACUACUGAGGCACAACACUGAACCAGCUUCCAGGGAAGGCUGAACUCUGAGACAUUAUUCCUGUCUUCAAAGGACUUUGUAAUCUGGUCGGCAAUAUAAAAAUGAUCACGAGACACUGAGAGGCACAUAUGCAGUGUCUCUCAAGGGCAUGCA